rnacentral:rRNA from 1 species
UAACAGGUUAAGCUGACGAGUGGCGAACGGGUGAGUAAUAUAUCGGAACGUGCCCAGUCGUGGGGGAUAACUGCUCGAAAGAGCAGCUAAUACCGCAUACGACCUGAGGGUGAAAGCGGGGGAUCGCAAGACCUCGCGCGAUUGGAGCGGCCGAUAUCAGAUUAGGUAGUUGGUGGGGUAAAGGCCCACCAAGCCAACGAUCUGUAGCUGGUCUGAGAGGACGACCAGCCACACUGGGACUGAGACACGGCCCAGACUCCUACGGGAGGCAGCAGUGGGGAAUUUUGGACAAUGGGCGCAAGCCUGAUCCAGCCAUGCCGCGUGCGGGAAGAAGGCCUUCGGGUUGUAAACCGCUUUUGUCAGGGAAGAAAAGGUUCUGGUUAAUACCUGGGACUCAUGACGGUACCUGAAGAAUAAGCACCGGCUAACUACGUGCCAGCAGCCGCGGUAAUACGUAGGGUGCAAGCGUUAAUCGGAAUUACUGGGCGUAAAGCGUGCGCAGGCGGUUAUGCAAGACAGAGGUGAAAUCCCCGGGCUCAACCUGGGAACUGCCUUUGUGACUGCAU